rnacentral:lncRNA from 10 species
ACGCGAGCCGCCUGCUCCUCCUGUUGCACCAGGGCUCCAUUCAUCUCGCAGAAGGCGUCUUCAAGGGUAUUCACCGUCAUGAGAAUGGACCCAGCCUGGUAGAGGGGUUCCAUUGUCUCUUCUACGUUGGACAAAGAGAGGAAGCCAAGAGACCAACCAGGUCCCUGAUGGCACAGUGAACUCCAUGAGGCCAGGGAUCAUGGAUUUCUCACCCUGUGUACCUUCAAGCAUCCUGCCUGGUGCCCUGCACAUACUGGCACUCAGAGAACUAGAUGAAAUGGAACUUAUUUUUACAGGUGGCUAUCAAAUCCCGGGCACCCUGGCUUUCCCGCUGACAUGAUGACACCUACUGGUCUUAGCAAAAACAGCAACUUCUUGAUUCCACUACCUAAGAGCUAGAUGGGGAUUGAGGAGCUGAUAAAAACAGCAUGUGGUCUUGUGGUAUAUUUAAUUAAGGGAGUGUGUGCAUGUUGGACACAUAAUAGAUUCUCAAUAAAUAUUUUUU